rnacentral:rRNA from 2 species
GUGAACCUGCGGAAGGAUCAUUGUCGCGAGUCAGAGCCACCGGCUAACCAGUUAUGUCGCUCCAGCUCCUCGGGGCGCACCUCUGAGGUCGUGAGCCUGCAUGUCCUGGCCGUAGUUCCCUGCAUGUUUGGGGUCGGCCGAGCGGCGGUGGGGCCUGGGGGGUCGCGUGAUCGAGCGAGCAGACACCUUUCGGGCGCGGCGUGCGCCAAGGAAUUGAAGCGGAUUGAGCGGCGUCCUCUCCCGUUGCCCGGCUCGCCCUCUGUAGAGCGUAGUCCGUGGCUUGCCAUGGGGACUCGACCCGCGUCUCUUAAUUGAAUACGACUCUCGGCAACGGAUAUCUCGGCUCUCGCAUCGAUGAAGAACGUAGCGAAAUGCGAUACUUGGUGUGAAUUGCAGAAUCCCGUGAACCAUCGAGUCUUUGAACGCAAGUUGCGCCCGAGGCCACUCGGCCGAGGGCACGUCUGCCUGGGCGUCACGCCACCCAUCGCUCCCCCGUGGCUGCCGGUGCGGUCCGGGGUGAUGCGGAGAUUGGCCGUCCGUGCCCCUCCUGGGGUGCGGUUGGCCCAAAAAUCUGGUCACGGUGCGGGUACGGCACGGCGUGUGGUGGUUUAGAGGCGACUCGUCGCUGCUCUCGCGUCGUGCCUGCCGCCCCGCCGCGCAUAGUGCAAGGGACCCAACUCGCCCGCUCCGGCGGGUGCUCGAACUGCGACCCCAGGUCAGGCGGGGCCACCCGCU